rnacentral:lncRNA from 1 species
CCCGAAGAAAAACUCUAAAACAAAGGAGGAAAAGUAAAAGGAAGCACUAUACACAGUAUAGAUACAAGCAAAAGAUUCAUUCUAGUGAGGAAAAUAAAUCACCUCAAAAAGAUGGAUAUCCUAUUACAGAGUUCUAAACACAUGCAAUUCAAAACAAAGUAAAUCCAUCAUUUUAAGAUGACUCAUUAUUAGGAAGAUUGAUGAGCCAACUUCAAAAGUCCAUCCAUCUCUAUUAAUUAGCAUACACCCCACCCUACACCCGGAAAAAAAAUGAUUAACAGCCCGAACAAUAAUAACAACAACAAAGACAACAAUGCAGCGUAUUAGAAAGAGAAGAAAAAUCCUAAAGUAUGCACUUGUGAACCAAAGGAGCUUUACAUGAGAGAGCACUUGAAGAAGGAUCAAAACGAUAUGGGUUUCUUUAAAAAAAUGAAAUCCAAAACUAACAUAAAAUGUUUUGUUCAUAGAGAUAGAAUGAAGAUUGGUGUCUAAAUGUUUGAAAUGGGUUUCUUGAUGUUAAUCAAUCCCAUUUCAGAAACCCAUUUUAGAGGACCCAUUUAAAAAAUCGAAGAUGGGAUUGGUGAAACCGAUUUCAGAAAUUUCUCAUGGGUUUCUUGAAAUCGUGUGGUUGGAUGUUUAAUCAAUCCCACUUUAAAAGACCAAUUAAAAAAUCAAAGAUGGGAUUUUCUGAAACCCAUUUUCUAAAAUCCAUUUCAGAAAUUUAUUUAUCAUGCAAGACCCGAGAGUUUACCGGCGAUUGUGGCUUUUUAGAUGGACGGAAGAGUAAGGUCCUACGAUCGUGGCUUGGUUUCUCACCCGCGACGGUGGCUCAACCGAUGUCAUAGACAGCAGUUUGUUCAGUCUUUAAUGCUAAAUAACUCAUUUCCGUAUUAUCAGUUCUUUUUACCCCUAAAUGGAUGCUGACCAAAUAAUAAAAGAAUGUAUUACCUUCUUAAAAUUUUCGGGUGCAUGCGCGGUGCUGCCAUUAACGGGUGCCAGUCUUGAAUGCCACUUCU